UUCCAUUGGAACUGGAACUAAUACUGCUAAAAGGCCUUAUAAGAUAAAAACGUAUAAUAGCACAGAGCCAUUUCCUCUGAUGCAAGGUGAAGGAAAAACAUUCAGUUGGGUUGGAGCAGUAUCUGCAAUUGAUAGAGAUGAC
rnacentral:sRNA from 1 species